rnacentral:rRNA from 1 species
CCUACGGGUGGCAGCAGUGGGGAAUAUUGCACAAUGGGCGAAAGCCUGAUGCAGCAACGCCGCGUGAGCGAUGAAGGCCUUCGGGUCGUAAAGCUCUGUCCUCAAGGAAGAUAAUGACGGUACUUGAGGAGGAAGCCCCGGCUAACUACGUGCCAGCAGGCGCGGUAAUACGCGCGGGGCUAGGGUUAUCCGGAAUUACUGGGCGUAAAGGGUGCUUGGGUGGUUUCUUAGGUAGGAGGGUAAAGGCUAGGGCUCAACCGUAGUAAGCCUUUGAAACUGGGGAACUUGAGUGCAGGAGAGGAGAGUGGAAUUCCUAGUGUAGCGGUGAAAUGCGUAGAUAUUAGGAGGAACACCAGUUGCGAAGGCGGCUCUCUGGACUGUAACUGACACUGCGGCACGAAAGCGUGGGGAGCAAACAGGAUUAGAUACCCCAGUAGUC